CGACGAUUCUUGAUAAAUGUUUGUUUGUUUAUUUUGAUAUGUUUUGCAUUACUCAUACUAUGUGGCUCAUAAAUAAAUCAAACAAAACAUUGCCUUAAACAACAUUUGAAUAUGAAUAUAUAUAUAUAAUCAUAAUAAUUAUGUUAUUCUUUCUCAAAAGACCAGCUGCAGGGAUGGUGUUUCUCGAAGCUAUCUUAGGAUUAGGACGUGUCCUAAGACCAUCUUAUGACAAGUCUUUGUCUUAAGUCGUGUUCUCGAAGCUCUCUUAACUUAGGAUAUAUCACAUUGUUCGUCCUAACUUUAGGACAUCUAAUUAAGUGUCUUAAGAUCAUCAUAUCUUCAUCCUAACUUUUUGAAGCUUUUCUCAUUUUUACGUGAAGAUGAACAUGAAAUGAAACGCACUAUCGGUUAUUAACUCGUAUACAGAAAUUGUG
rnacentral:lncRNA from 1 species